GCUUCGAUAGCUCAGUUGGUAGAGCGACGCACUCGUAAUGCGUAGGUCGAGGGUUCAAGUCCCUUUCGGAGCU
rnacentral:tRNA from 1 species